GGGGAAUAUUGGACAAUGGGCGAAAGCCUGAUCCAGCCAUGCCGCGUGUGUGAAGAAGGCCUUUUGGUUGUAAAGCACUUUAAGUGGGGAGGAAAAGCUUGUGGUUAAUACCCAUAAGCCCUGACGUUACCCACAGAAUAAGCACCGGCUAACUCUGUGCCAGCAGCCGCGGUAAUACAGAGGGUGCAAGCGUUAAUCGGAAUUACUGGGCGUAAAGCGCGCGUAGGUGGUUAUUUAAGUCAGAUGUGAAAGCCCCGGGCUUAACCUGGGAACUGCAUCUGAUACUGGAUAACUAGAGUAGGUGAGAGGGGAGUAGAAUUCCAGGUGUAGCGGUGAAAUGCGUAGAGAUCUGGAGGAAUACCGAUGGCGAAGGCAGCUCCCUGGCAUCAUACUGACACUGAGGUGCGAAAGCGUGGGUAGCAAACAGGAUUAGAUACCCUGGUAGUCCACGCCGUAAACGAUGUCUACCAGUCGUUGGGUCUUUUAAAGACUUAGUGACGCAGUUAACGCGAUAAGUAGACCGCCUGGGGAGUACGGCCGCAAGGUUA
rnacentral:rRNA from 1 species